GAGAAGGUGCAGGAGUCAAACGGAUCUCAACUAUGAAAACUCCCCAGUACAAUCCCACCACAGUAAGAUUUGCCAUUGGGCUGCAAAAACAGACUUAGACCAAGACGGCGCACAGCCCCGACCAAGGCUUCCAUGGGAAACGUCUGGAGGUUCUGGAUGUCACUGAUCUGCCUGGCCCGGCUCCUGAGCCUGGGUACUCCUGGACGCUCUCUGGAGUCCGGCUGGGACCCAAGGGCUAUGUUUGGCCUUGGACGUUUUGUUUUUUUAGUUAUAGCUGCAUUGUAUUUCAAGAUGUGGAAAACUCAUAGAAUUCCGGAUAUCGACUGUAGCUUCUUUUGAUAACUUGGAAGGGGUCUGGCUGUACUGGGCCCACGUUCCUGCUUAGCCGUGUUGGGUUUGAUCUGAUGGGUGGCUGCCACCAUCACGGGGGACCCACUCUUCAUGCCCGCCCUGCCUAGCCCUGCAAGCAGCUGAGCUUGUGGCCCCCUGUGGGUCCACCCCUCAAUUUACACAUGAGAGCACUGAGGGCCAGGAGGUACAGGUGAGACUCUGACACACCAAGCAUGCUGGCAGGGGGCAGGGGGGUGGGGACCGAGAGGGACUGUCCUCCUGGUUGCUCCACCCUGUGGUGUGACGUGGAGGGGGAGGGCUGGACUGUGCAGGCACUAAGAUUUCCGAUUCCAGCCGGCCCGGCGAUUCAGCGGACAGAGGCCCACGCGGAGGGGAAAGGCCCCCAGAGCAGUUUGUACCUGCUCUGAAGUCCCACAGGGAUACUCGACCUCAGAACCCCUUCCGGGACCUCAGGGAGAUACCCUGGCUGCUGGGAACCUGGCUCCUAGUUCGAGGUCGUUCAUGUGAACCACACCUCCCCAGCCACCAUCACGUGCGACUCGGGGCUCCCUCUGCUGGACAGACCUGGCACUAUCCCCCAGGGCAUACUAUCACAGAUCUUUGAAAAAGUGCCCAGUACCCUCCACCCUCCCUGCCCCAGCGAGGGAGUAGCCACAAGGAGAUGCGGGGUCAUCUCCAGCCUUAACAUGGCACUGUCACGACCUUGGGGCCUCGAGGAGCUACUCCAUCCCUCCCUGCAUCCCUCACGGAGGUGAACCCAGGAACAGCUUUCUCCGCCCUGCCGGCCUCUUCGGCACAGGCACCUGCUUCUCAUUCUCCAUGGCGCUCUCUCCGAGGACCAUGUCUGGUCAAGGCCUCGGUGAGGUACAGCUUCACAUGAGUUCCCGGGGGCUCAGCGUCAGGCCCGGCUGCUGCUGGAUUGAUGAGUGUCCUUGGAACUGUCACGGCAGAGCGCUCUGUCCCCAGCGCUGCCGCCGACCUGCCCAGCACACUCUCUCCCUCUGCUCGACACCUGCUAAUGUGAGCCAGCGUCUGCGCUGCAUCAGCCCAGCCAGUCUGGUUGGCGUGAGGAGGGGGUGAUGUGAGAUGUGGGCUUUCUGGAAGACCUCAGGGCCACCCUAUAGAGCCCCUUGCUCUGGAGUGAGGUGGGCCAUGACCUGGAGGAAAGUCGGGACCCCUGCAGCAAGACCCUAGCUCUGCGGGGACACAGGGUGGGGACAAGGCUGGGGACCUCUGGUCACAUUCUUCUUGACAGGACAACGGGGAUUUCGAAAUUGGGUUUCAGUUCCUCAGCACCUCUGCCUGCCUAUGGAAAAACUGACCUGCUGGUUCCCUGUCUGGGCAGUUCCUCAAACACUGCGGGGCAGGGGCUGACCCCACCAGGGUAAGGCCAUGUGAGUGGGUGUCACAGUUCACAGUGUGGCUGGGCAUCCGUGGCCCACUCUGUCACACAUUAAGCAAACUCAUGAGAGGAAGGGCUAGAUUGAUCCAGAAAUACAGGAGGUGCCUUCCUUGGCACCUUGCUUCUGCCCC